AUUGAACGCUGGCGGCAUGCUUUACACAUGCAAGUCGAACGGCAGCGCGGGGCAACCUGGCGGCGAGUGGCGAACGGGUGAGUAAUACAUCGGAACGUACCCAGAAGUGGGGGAUAACGUAGCGAAAGUUACGCUAAUACCGCAUACGUUCUACGGAAGAAAGUGGGGGACCUUCGGGCCUCAUGCUUUUGGAGCGGCCGAUGUCUGAUUAGCUAGUUGGUAGGGUAAAGGCCUACCAAGGCGACGAUCAGUAGCUGGUCUGAGAGGACGACCAGCCACACUGGUACUGAGACACGGCACAGACUCCUACGGGAGGCAGCAGUGGGGAAUUUUGGACAAUGGGCGCAAGCCUGAUUCAGCAAUGCCGCGUGAGUGAAGAAGGCCUUCGGGUUGUAAAGCUCUUUUGUCAGGGAAGAAACGGCUGAGGUUAAUACCUUCGGCUAAUGACGGUACCUGAAGAAUAAGCACCGGCUAACUACGUGCCAGCCGCCGCGGUAA
rnacentral:rRNA from 1 species